rnacentral:rRNA from 1 species
UACGUAGGGGGCAAGCGUUGUCCGGAAUUAUUGGGCGUAAAGAGCGUGUAGGCGGCCAGAUAAGUCCGCUGUGAAAUCUCGAGGCUCAACUUCGAGCUGUCGGUGGAAACUAUCUGGCUAGAGUCCGGAAGAGGAGAAUGGAAUUCUUGGUGUAGCGGUGAAAUGCGCAGAUAUCAGGAAGAACACCCGUGGCGAAGGCGGUUCUCUGGGACGGUACUGACGCUGAGACGCGAAAGCGUGGGGAGCGAACAGG